rnacentral:rRNA from 1 species
AUUGAACGCUGGCGGCAUGCCUUACACAUGCAAGUCGAACGGUAACGCGGGGCAACCUGGCGACGAGUGGCGAACGGGUGAGUAAUGCAUCGGAACGUGCCCAGUAGUGGGGGAUAGCCCGGCGAAAGCCGGAUUAAUACCCCAUACGACCUACGGGUGAAAGCGGGGGACCGUAAGGCCUCGCGCCAUCGGAGCGGCCGAUGUCAGAUUAGGUUGUUGGUGGGGUAAAAGCCUACCAAGCCGACGAUCUGUAGCUGGUCUGAGAGGACGACCAGCCACACUGGGACUGAGACACGGCCCAGACUCCUACGGGAGGCAGCAGUGGGGAAUUUUGGACAAUGGGGGCAACCCUGAUCCAGCCAUGCCGCGUGCGGGAAGAAGGCCUUCGGGUUGUAAACCGCUUUUGUCAGGGAAGAAACGCUCUGGGCUAAUACCCCGGGGUAAUGACGGUACCUGAAGAAUAAGCACCGGCUAACUACGUGCCAGCCGCCGCCGUAAUAC